rnacentral:rRNA from 1 species
UGCUCGAGUGGCGAACGGGUGAGCAACACGUGAGUAACCUGCCCUUGACUUUGGGAUAACUUCAGGAAACUGGGGCUAAUACCGGAUAGGAGCUCCUGCUGCAUGGUGGGGGUUGGAAAGUUUCGGCGGUUGGGGAUGGACUCGCGGCUUAUCAGCUUGUUGGUGGGGUAGUGGCUUACCAAGGCUUUGACGGGUAGCCGGCCUGAGAGGGUGACCGGCCACAUUGGGACUGAGAUACGGCCCAG